AGGUUUUAUUUUUUGCUCUCAUCCAAUUGCCUCCUCAGCUUAAACUUAUUGCUGCAAAUAAUUUUGUUUGGUCAACGCAAAAUGUAUUGGAGCCUUUCAGUAUGAACUGUAAAUGCUAUUAUCAGAAGCUAUUGUAAAACAACUUCAUACUUUUUUGAGCAAAGAAAAUGUAAGAACUGUAAAAAUUCUAAAAAUGUGAUGUAAAUGUUCACAUUUAGGUGAUGUUCAUUCUGCAAAAUCCUUUCUCAUUUCAUAUUUUGGAUUAUGACUGUUUCUAUGAGUAGUUGACCAUCAUAUUCCAACAAUUUCAAUAUUAGUAGAUUUUUAAUGACUCUUAACAUUACUGUGAAGGUACUUCUAUCUAGGUGGAUGCCUUUUAGCUCUACAUUUUGUGACAUUUCUAAUAGCUAAAUAUUAUCUCCAUUUAUAAAUGAAAGACCUUGACUAGCAUAAUCUGUCUCCUAAAUCACAAAAGGACAUUGUUCCACUUUUCUAGUUCUGUUCCCCUUUGCAUUAAUUACUAAUGUCAUUUUUUGUACCAAUUACACCUUUUUCCUCAUUGCUUAAAUAAUGCUUCUGUUAGUAAUUUCAAGUGCUUUGUCCUCCAUAAAACUAUGCAUUUAGUGCUCACCUUCAUGUCUGUAGGUAAAAAUCUUGAAUGACAGUGCACAAAGGUAGUCUGGGCAUUUUUCUCUUUAACCAUUCCGUGUUGCAUGUGGUUGCAGUGAUUAAUUGAUUUUAACAAGGUUGCCCUGGCUGCUGCUUUGAUAUAAAAACCAAAUUCUUGCUUCGUGGGUUGAACUACUGCUUUGGUUCUGAUUGCUCACGAUGGCCAAGUGAAAGAACAGGUGAUUGUGAAAUAAGGUGAUGGCUCAUGGGUGUGUGCUGGAGUUUGUGGCAGUGGUCAGGUAAGGAAACAGGCCAGGUUAGGAAUGUGAAGGAAUGUGGAAUGACAGGGCAUCCUGUGGUUGUAGCAGGCAUCUGUGUCAUGAUGUAGGGUUUAGAUUAGAUCAUGAAGGGUUUUGAUGGAAAGGUUUAGAUUGCAUUACAUGUUACGCUGUCUAGUUUUGAUGCCUUUGUUGUCUUUGGGAUACAUGGGCUUGUUCUAAGGUUUUAAAUGCUUGGCAGAGCAGGAGAUAGAAUUUUUUAAAAGGUUAUCGCAGAAUUUCUGGAGGAAAAGUAAUUGAGGAAAUGGCAAUUUUUAGAACUAAAAGCAAAACAGGUUUUUUAUAUGCUUCACAAUGACUUACAGUGUCCCCUUAAUUGUGACUGUAAGAGAAGAACAAGGCUGCAGUCCAAUAUAACUUUUUCUCUAAGAAGGUAGGAAGGAGAGCGCAUGGAAAGACAAUUGAAAUUCACAGUAUUUCAAAACAGAGAUGACUGCAGCAGUGAAAAAAUUUAUGAGUGCUUAUACGAGCUGUUGGUUUUUUAAGUGAAAGGAGAACAGCUUUUUAUUACCAAAUUAUAAAUUGUCUCUUGAAUGAGUAUUUUCAUUCCUUUUGGGUGGGAGGCAUAGGGAUCAAAAAUCCAUCUUCCUUACAACUGUAGUGAGAAGACCUGGGACUGGAUUUCCUGAGAUGCUCUUUUGACAAUUUCCAUUAUGUCUGGGGGCAAUGAAUUUUGAAGAUUAUAACUUACUAUUCAUUGUUAUGUUAACAUGCAGAAAGUUUACUUAAUUUUAGCUUCCUAGUGAAAAAUCUAAGAGGUUAAAUACUUAACAAUUUUUUUAGCUCUUGGUAGUAUUGUGGAAUUGUCAACAUUUUACAUUUUUUUCUGAAUAUUGGUUGCAUUUUUGUGAUAAAUGUGAGCAAAGGAAACCUUUCUAAGUAUUUAUUUAAUACCAAGCUAAUUUCAUGUUUGCUUUGGUUUUUGUUCUGUUUUGACAUUGUGGGUGCACUGAGGAUUCUUAGAGCUGAGCUAACCUUGGAUUUGCUGCCACAGUCCCCGUGGUCAAAUUAUGUCUUCAUAAUCAAUAAUUGCUCUUUCUUCUUGAAUGCUGUGCGUCUCAGCCAAAUUUGGCCUCAUAUUGCCUAAAUAACCACAAAAUACUUGAAAGUUACAUAGGAGUUAAGUUUAAACAUUUAUGUUAAUAACUUUAAUGUGAAUAAAUGUAUUUCUUCUAUUUUAGAUCAACGUGUUUGCUCUGUUUUUAAGCUACUGCAACAAACUGUGGCUUUUAAUACAGCUAAGGAAUGGAUCAAGGUCUGCAAGCAUCUGUGCAAGCAUAGGUAUUUUGAUUCCAAAAAUGAAACCUAAAACUUGUCAAGUGUUGAAAACAAAAUCACCAAAAAAAAUUAAGAGAACUCUCAAUACAGGUCAAAAAGCCAAGCACUCAUCUGUGUGGGUGAGUACACUUGCAAAAUCUUCAAUUGCCUGAUUUGCUUGUAUGCAAAUUUCUGCUCCCAGUGAUCCUUUUGAAAUUCAGCGUGUAGAACGGGUCGUGCUUCAUUAGCCUUGCUUUAUUCUUUAGAGAGUGGAGUAGAUAUACAAGAAACAAUGAGAUUAGGGUUACUAAGGCAACUUUAAUUUUGGCAAUACCUAAUUUUUAUUUCUUGUCUUAGCAACCUUAAUGAGUUGAGACUUUGAGUUUUUUAAUACAGGUUUUAUUUUAUGUUGUGGGAAAUAUGUUGGGAAUUUGUUUCAAUAGACUAAAACAAAUGACCAGAAAUGCUGUCUUCUUUAGCAGUAUGUAUGCCCUGAGUUACUUGGUAUUACAUUGCUAUACACCAUGUAUGUGCCAUACAGUGGCUAUAUAAAAGUUCACAUAUUUCUUCCUUAUGUCCUGUGACAUGCAGACCCUUCAGAGUUACUGGCUUCAGCUCCAUCACAACAUCCUUACAUGUGUUGGUGGUGUUUUGACUCAACCAUGCUGGUGCACACUGGAUUGGAGAGUCAGGUUAAAAUAAACCCAAACAGCACACCAAAUGAAAAAACAAAAACCAACUCAAAAUACUUUUCUUGAGAAGCUCUAUUUUGUGUGUGUGUCACAAACAUGGCACAGAAUGAGGAGCAAGGUUUAUUUUCUCUACAGCUUUGUCUUUCAUCACCUGAAAGUUUCAUGUCUCAGAUUUUUAAGUCUUACCAUCACUGAUGGUAUUAUAAAAUAUUGGUAUUAUGUAUUUUGGGUUUCUUUUUGAAUAAGUUUACUUAGCUUAUUUCUUAAAGGGCAAUCCAGAGAAGAGUUGAAGGAGCAUUUGUAAAAUUAUGGAACUUCUACCACUCUCUUGUCUUCAGAUUGGGAUCAAGCAGUAAAAACCACACAUUGGUUGAGUGGACAUCACAAACAAAUCUAUCAUGAAGAAACAACAAACCCACAAAUGAAAGAGAGGAGGAGAAGAAAAAAGCCUUAAGAUAAUCCUGUGUGUUUCAACACAAAAGGAACUUGAAAGAAGGAUUGAAGCUAAUUUAAAUGUAGCAUGUAUGAUCUGUUUUAUAGCAAAACUUGCUAUUUUGUUUCUUAAUCGCAGAAUAUUUGGCAAUCUGGCACAUCUAUUUAUUUGCUGAUUUACUUACAUAUUUUUGUAAGAAAGUUGCUCUUUGAUAGCCUGAACAAAAAUAAAAAUAGCUGCCUCCUACUUGGUUUGUGAUACUACCAGUCUUUGGAGUAGAUUAAGCAUUUGCUGAUCAAAAGGUGCAGCUAAGGUUUUUUGCUAUACUUUGUUACAGGCAGUAGCAAAGUACAGCCACUGAAAUAGACUCUUUCAGGAGCCAAGACAAAUGCUGUGAGACUUUUUGGAAUUCUGCAAGUUAACUAGGUGAGAAAACAGCUUCCUUUGGGUCAUGGCUGCAUUUUUAAGAGGACUAUUAACUAAAGCACCAAUUUUAUCAGUUAGUGUAAAAUUCUACUUAUCUGCACUUGUAAGAGUUAACACCAAGACUUUGUCUUACCUCAAGUGCAUCCUUUCUUCCAAAGAGAUUUUGAGAAAGCAUUUGUUUUCCUAGUAUUCAGAAAAGAUCUCUUUUUCUUUGAUAAAGAAGAUAAUAAUUUCUAGCAGCCACCUGUCCAUGAGUAGACAUUACAAAAUAUUCUGAAUGCUUUUCUAAUAUUUAGGUAGAGAAGCUUGAGUACAUCUCUUUCUCUAAGUUUCUUCUGGGUAUGUACAUUUGGCUUGGGGUGUUUUCUCUUUUUGUUGUUUAUGGCCAUACAUGUCUGUUACAUUGUCAGAAAACAUUUUUACAAUAGUUUAACUAGAGAAGUCACUUUCUUACUUUCACAGUUGUGUAUGAUGAAUUAUUUCAAAUCAUCAAAGCUUUUUCCUCAAAGGCUUCUUUAUCCCACUGUUUUCUAGGAUUUACAUAAUUGUCUAUACUGAAUCUGGCUUUCCUCAUUUGAAGUUGUUAUUGUUCAUGUGGAAAGAAUUAAAUGCAUGUUUUAGUAGCUCUCUGGUAUAAUAAAAAGAAAGCAAAAAUGGGAUUUGGGUUCAGCUAGUCAAAGGUCUAAUUGCUUGAAGUGGACUAGAGCAUUUUUGUUAGUAAGUAGGGAGCAGACCAAUGUGCUGAUGAUCUAUCUUGCACAUGGACAUCUGCCUCCGGGGGUUUUUAAAAUCAAGUAGUCAGUUAACAGAACUUAUCUCUAUUUUAAGUGGCAGAAGUAUAAUGUUAAGCACUUACCAUUGUUACGUCAUUGCAACAGAUGCUUGUGGAGUUACACUGGAGUAUGGCAACCCAAAUUUUAUCUGAGGUUACAUUUGAAAUGUGGUGUCUGAUUUUUACACUCCUGUUUUGAAGGAAAAAUGAGCUUUUAUGGAUUGGAUCUCUGGAGCUCUCCCUGGAAGAGGGAGAUUAAGAACUUACUUGAACUUUUCAUACCUACUUCUGACUUGAACUUUGCUUGACUUUUGUAGAGCAAAACAAACUUCAUGUCAACGCUGUUCAUUUCCUACAGUCCCCCUGAGGUGCAAACUCAUAAAACUGGCAUUGGCCAUAGUCCCAGCCUGCAGCUGUCCUGUAAUUCUUUCCACUCAAGGCCCUGUCCCCAUAGCAGAACAGGAUCUGUUGGGAAUCACAGCCAGCUCAGUGGUGUGUCCUGCAGCACAGAUGGAAUAGCUGAUGGCACAAGGGUGUGAGGAUAACCCUGCUGUGCUCACUGUGACUGAAAACACGGACUGUGCCCGGCACAGAGCUCCAGUGUCAGAGCAAGCUGCCUCAUUUUCUCUUUGUCCCACAAUUGCCUCUCGUUUUGCAUAGAUUAGCAGACACACAUGAGAAGUAUAUUUUAGAGUCUAUGGAUACUGCAAAACUUCAAGGAAUUGCUUUAAACUGAGAAAGAUCUCCUGUAAGGAGGUUACCAGCAAAGUGUUGGACUUAGAAAUCCAGCUGUGUUCCUGGCCGUCCUGUGGCGCUUUGUUUGUUUUCCUCCAGGAGGGGGCAGCAGAUGAACAACAUCAGGGGUCGUUUCUUUUCAAGCGCUUUUCCAGUAUCCCCCUCUGCCUGUGAAUCCCAGCAGGGCCUCCAUACCUACGGGAGGGUUUAAAAUUAUAAUUCCUACCUAUUUGCUACAAGGAUAGCUGGAAUGUGUGAAUCGGAAGUCUUCAUUCUGUUCAGUGUUAAGUGGUAGAAUUUAUUCAGCAAAGUCUAUCUCAAGUUUAUAGAAAGGUCAGUUCAAUAUUGAGACUUAAGAUUUUAUGACCAUGGGAGUAGGUGUGUAUAUAUUUUAAAGGAUAAAAUAACCAAGCAACCCAACCCCAUGAGCUUAUUAGUUAAUGUCACCUAAGUCUUACUUAACAUCUUUCAAACACUUACUUUCUAUUAAGUUGCAUAUUCCAAUUCAAAAUAAUGUUCUCAUAGCCUUUUUUCUCUCAUCAGAAAAUAAAACUAAGAAUGCACUGAAUCUAGUGAUACUUUUCAUUCGUGUGUAAUUAAUGUGCUCAUGUACAUUCUGUGCUUGUGCAUUCUGCUGACAGAGCAUGGGAGUUAAAGUCCUCAAUUCACAGGCAGUGCUAAUGAUGCUAAAGCAUAUAACCAAAUUUUAUUGCAUUAUUUCAGCCACAAAGUGCAGGCUUCUCAUCAAAAACUUUAUGGAGGUGUACCAUAUUACUGAUUGGGAAUAUGGUAGGGUCUUUUUUAAAACUGUAGGGAAAAUGCUGAUUAUUACCUACCAUUGUGAAUUUCUUGAAAGUGUGUGGCUGUAAUUCUCUUUAAGUUACAGAUCAAGCAGUUAACAAAAAGCUACAGAGAGAGAGCAGUCAAGCCUUUUCAGCUGCUAAAUUUUAUCCAGUAGUUUACAUAAAGAAAGAAAAAACAUAGUGGCUUGUGUAAGUAUCAGCUGCUGUAAUCAGUGCUCAGAAGCUAACUGGGAAGAAUGAAACUAAUUCCUAACAAGACUGAUUCACUGGUAGACUUGCCUUAAAGAUUUUCAUUAAAAUUGUGUUGUAAUGCAUGUGGGACCUUUAUGGAGCCUAAAACUUUAUCAAGUGACUUGAAUUUUUUUUUUCUUUUCUGGUGAUUUUUUGUUUUCAAAGAUUACAAAUGUUUAAGAGAAGAGGAGGAGAUAAUUACAAAGACUUAUUCAGAAUGGCACAAUUUACCUUUCAGAGUUUCCUUUAAUCCCACUGUUUAAAUCACAGAUUUUUCUCUAGGCCCAUGGUUGUACUGUAGUCACUGAUUUAGCACCUUCUGUGCAUCAAACACUUCAACAACUCCCCUGAGUAUUUAAGUUCCCUCAUGCAAGUUCAGGGCUUUUAUUCUUUAAGCAAUGUAAGCUUUAUUUUUCUAGUGCAGGAAAGAUCCAGACAAAUAACUGAGGAUUAAAUUCUCUUUUUCCUCUUUCUUGUUUUGAAUACUGUUGCAUAAAAUAACUCUAUGAUUCACUCUUGCUUUGUGUAGUAAUUAGCAGGAAGACUUUUACCAGUAGAAGUCUUGAGUAUAGUAUAAAUUAAUUCCAUAGUAUUCUAAAAUACUUCAUUUUCUGAGUGUCUGGACUUGAACUGCCUUCACAAAUAUGUCAUUAAAAUAGCCCUGAUUUCCUUAUAGAGUGUUUAGAGAAUGAGUAAUUCUGUUUAUUACAUCUAAUAUAUGAAUGUUUUACAUGUAUUUGGGAAUAGUAUUUACUCAGUUAUUAAUUAUUUACAGUUUGUUUUGAAAGGACAUUGUUUCCUUUUGCUGGAAAGGUCAAUAAUCUGGAUAGAUGUGUAAGCACUUUUUAAAUCUGCUAUAGUUGGUUUUCACAGGAUGAGGAUUUUAAACUUCUAUGCUUGCAUUUCUCUCUUUGAAAUUAUUGUGUGUUAAAGAUGUGAUUUUUAAAGCAUAAAGACUUGUGCUUGAAUUUGUGAACAGCCAGUGCUUCCUCUGUUGUUUCUGAGGUAUACUGAUUUAGGAUUACAGAUCUGUAAUCUGCAUUAGCCUUUUCAAAUGUUUUACCAUUUCCCUUCCAAGGAAUGUUCUCUUUGUAUAUUAGCACAUACAUAAUUUUCAUAUGGAGUUUUUUCCCCCCUUUUUAAAUAAAUUCCAUUUGCAGGCCUGCAAGAGUAACAGGUCAUAUAGCAGAGACAAAAAAAAAAUCUAGAAAACCUUUUGGAUAUUGGAUUAUUCUAUUUUGAUGUUUGAAUGGUGGACCAUUCAAACAUCAAAAUAGAAUAAUCCAAUAUUGUUUUGCAUUAUGCAGUAUUGGCUGCUAGGAAAUUAAUUCAACACAGCAAACCGUGUAAUUUUGGGAAUAUAAAUAAAUAAUUGAAACAUAAUAAACUGAAGUAUUUCUUUGUA